CUCAAAUUCCAGCGGAUUCACGUCAAGCUGUGGCGCAGGCACUGGAGAACAAGUAAAAGCCAAAGCGCAGAUGCCAGUACCAAGGGAUGAAAAGCACCACGGGACAUAACUGCAGUGCUCAGAGGUGCAGCUGCUCCAGCAGCAGCCCUGGUUGAGCAGCCUAUGCCACCCCCAUCCCCGCUGUCCCCCCGCUUGACGCCCAGCCCCGAGCUCUGCCCCGGGAGGGGUGCUGUGGGGGAUGUUUAUGCAGCUACACUGCCAAAAACAAAAUGAAACAUGAGAAUGAUAACAAACUGUGCAUCCAACUGCAGCCUAAAUAAACCGGAGUGCUCCUAGAGAUGGAUUUCAGCCGCUUGCUUCGUCCCAGACAGGAAUUAAACAGGUUCAUUGAGGUUUUGGAUGCUGAAACGCAAAGGAUGCUCACGGGACCUUCAGGGGCUGCAAGGAGGGAGGCAGAGGACAGGAUUUGAUCUUGCAGCCGUCUAGGAAAAAAGAUCAAUAGGAUGCAGGCAGGGCAACCUGCUGUCUGCUUGUGCCUGGAGCCCCAGGUCAGAGCUCUGCAUAACUCAUCCUUGCUCUGCUAACAUGGGGAACUAUAAAUAAACAGGAGAGCAGAGAAGGAGGUGGUGCAAAGGGACUGCACUUUUCAACCUGAGAUACUCAAUCUAUUCAGCUUAACCAACAGAAGGUGACUGGUGACAAUCUGUAAAUAUUAACUGAGCUUUCUGAUAGCAGCAGGCUCUGGCAUGGCACAGAUAAAACACAGUUCUGUCCAGCUGGAGCUGGACAAAUUCAGACUACAAAGAAGUUACCGAUUAUUUCAAGUGAAGCAAACAGCUCUAUGCUCUCCACUGACAGCUAUUUUUAAACGGUGAGGACCUGCAAGGAGGCACUAGCACUUGCCUGGUUGCAUAUGCACAUAUCAUAACAGGCCAGGAGGGAGAGGAUGCUGCAGAGGAGCCUUGCUGCAGGGAUGUACAGACAUGAGGGAAGAACAGGGAGGAAAAGCCCUGCCUUCUCCUUUGCUGCUGCUGUAAGAUGAAUCACACUUCUCAGCAUUCAGUUCCCUUCACCACCUACAGCGUGACGCCUCGUGGUGUGGAAAUUUGCAGCCAGAGCAAGGAAAGCAUACAUGGAGUAUACAGCAACGAGGAGCUCAGAGAGGUGAUGUUACAGCCACAGGCGUUCCGUGCCCCUGGGAGCAGGCAUGCCUGUGCACGUACACAUCACUCUCAAGCACGCUCACACACACACCUACCUCUCCUAAGAACAAAAGCAGCAACAGCGGGCACACAUUCCACCUUCUACUUCUAUAUCUUCAAAAAGCAAGUUGCUUUCUAUAUCAGGUUUCCUACAAUUAUCAUGAAAUAUCUUCAAGAGAGCAAUUCUGUCUUCUUGGCGGAGCGACUCUUUGAUGUCCAACACCGCGCUCAGAUGUUCUUCCCUUUUCAAAAGGAUAAGAGGACGUGUCAGUGAAAGAACCAAGGGAAAAGGUUUGCUUCCCACAACCCCGUAUUGCUGGGCCAGGCAAAGGCUUAGAACCUACUGAACUGUUUUUUGACACUCUUUGGCCACCUAGAAAGGAAAAGGCCAUAACACCACAGCUGUGCAUGACGUGACUGAGCUCAAAGGUCCCAUGCUCUGUGCACAUGGAGCUGUGAAGAUCUUUACCUCAGUUUUCUCCUGGAAAAAAAUUGACAUCUUCCAUAGUGGGUUUGGGGCAAAUCUGCAUUGGAUCAUUUGAAAGCAUCUAUCGUCUCUUUCCUCUCCUCACAUGGAAUUACGUAGCGUUGCUUUGCCGAUCAUAUGUAUAUUGUGUGUGUGUGUACCUAUAUAUAUGUGCAAUAAGAGAGUAAGAACCUCCAUGCUGUAUCAGAUAAACAUCUUUUUAGCUCAGUACUGCUUCUUUAAAAGAAGCAAAUGCUUUGGAAAAAGAAUAUGGAAACCAGGCCAAGCAUAACAUGAUCUCUUUGUCUUCCUUUUUCGCUUCUGGCAGUCUGCAGUUAAGGGACUUCCUUCACUAGGAGUUGUAUCAUGACUGUCAUGUUGAAUAGGCACUAAGACAAUUAUCUACCACAAAUUGUCUGCUCCCUGUUUGAAGCUAUUCUCGCUUUUGGCCUUCAGAGCAUCCUGUGACAGAGAGCUCUACACCGUAACGAUGUUAACUUGAAAAAACACAGUCCCUAGCACAGGACAUCAGAGCUCGAGAUGGAUAUAAUAAAAAACAGAAUUUGAAACAAAUACAGUUAGCUAAAAUCUCACCUUCCUAAUAAAAGUUGGGUUUCAUUUCUUUUAACAGCUCCCUA
rnacentral:lncRNA from 1 species